rnacentral:misc_RNA from 1 species
GGGAACAAGAAAUCUCCUUCAGAACACUAUUUGGACUGUGGCAUUGGUUUACGGAUUCUUCAAACAGGAAACUCUGUCACUCUCUGGGCGGGACUUCAAGUUGACUUUGAUAGCAAGACGUUCACGUCAUUAUGCUGGUACCAGAUAUCUGAAGCGAGGCGUAAAUGAAAAUGGUAAAGUUGCGAACGACGUUGAGACUGAGCAAAUUCUAUUUGAGGAUGUCCCUGAAGAUUUCCCAGUGCAAAUAAGUUCUGUUGUUCAAAAUCGUGGGUCAAUCCCGCUCUUUUGGUUUCAGGAAACUUCACGACUAAAUCUGAAGCCUGAUAUUAUAUUGUCAAAGAGGGAUCAGACAUAUGAAGCAACGAGACUUCAUUUCGAGAAUCUUGCUGAGAGAUA